GAUUAUUGAAUACAAUAAGGUCAUAAUAUGCUUCAUAAGAGUUAAAUCUGUCAUAUAUUUCAAAUCUGUAAAAAAAUGUCAUGUGUAGCAAAUUUCAGAAAAAUCUCUUUCGAAACAUUUUCAAAACUUUCGUUCACACAUCGCUGACGCAUUUGACCAAAAUGAGGUUAUCAUCAAGCAUCAGUUCAAAUGUUAAAGAAAAAAAUUGUCAUAGCAUUAACAAUGUUUCAAAAUCAAGCAUAAAAUUUUAACUAGUCUUAUUUGACUGCUUUUACACCUCGGUACUGAAAAAAAUGUAAAAAUGUAUGUACAAAAGUAGAAUGCGCCCACCGCUAUCAACGUGUGAAGGGAGCGUGUGUGAUGGAUCAUUAGUGUCGGUGCAACAACAACCACCCAGUGAAACAUAAGUAGGUCUACACUGACUAGCGACAAUGAAAUUAUCUUGAAAAUAUUUACUUUAUAUGUUUUAGAAGAAUAUUAUGAUUUUCAUACAUAAUUAUUUGUUAUAAUUCUUAAAUAUUUCAAAAAUGAUGGCAUAAUUGCAAAUAUUCGCAUAUGCAAGUAUUCUUUUGUCAAAGCCAAGAUAUUGUUUCUAGGCCUAGGUGUUAGAUUUCUUUACUUUACACUUAACAGUCGUAUCUCUUUAUUAACAAUUUCUGGCCAGAAAGCAAAUGAGGUUAUCUACACAUUCUUGCACUUCAAGUUACCUUAUGAAAGAAUAAAUUAUACACCAAAAGCGAGCAGAAGGAAUUUUAAGAAAAUAAUAUUUUAAAUCAGUUGAAAAACAAGUGUUCUAUACGUCUUGAUAGUUAAUACUUAUGAUAUUUCGAUUAAUAGCCAUCUUCUCCAUAUAAUCAAAAUCAGCAGCAUCUUUUAUUCCUCAAAGAACAGGUUAUCUUUGCAAAUAAAAACAUUAGUAACAGAUUACAUUUCAGAAGACUUAGAAUAUCUUUUAGGGAAAUAAAUCAUUUUGCAACAUACAGCCAGCUUAAACGCAGUCUAAAACUUCAAAGAAAACUGGUCGUAAUUCAUAUUCUAUCGUAUUCAUAUUCUAUCUUAUUCAUCAAAGAACAGGUAAUCUCUACAAAUAAAUUCAUUAGUAACAGAUUAGGUUACAUCUCAGAAGGCAUAGACUAUUUCUUUAAGCCUAUGAAACAUUUUGCAACAUACAGGCAGCUUAAACACAGCAUAAACUUCAACAUUCAAAGAAAACUGGUUGUAAUUCAUAUUCCUACUUUGAAAAUGUUGUCAUGACUGUUGAGCUUAUUAGGUCUACUGUCAUAAUGCUGCAGACGUACUAGUUAUGUUGACCAGUCCGAGGAGCAUGUAAGUGCGGUUUCAUUGAUGGCACCGCUAACCUUAUCACACCGCACUUUGAACUAAGCAACGUAAAAAAAAAUCAGUUCAAAUCACACAGAUUACGAAUCAUACAAAUGCAUAAAAGGGAUCAUAUUUAUAUAACCAUAAGGAAAAUAGGGCUAGCUGUGAAUUCGCAAACUUGUCGACAUGUAUGACAUUAGAAAAAAAAAAAGUUUAACACUACUUGGCAACGUCACGUUGAGUCUGAGAAUCUGGACGAUAUAAAAAGAAUCAUGUCGCAUGAGAUUUGAGCCCCACUGUACAUACACCUUCCACGCACACAAUGAAGACCUAUUGGAAAUUGUUGAGUGACAUAACACUUAUUUAUUAUAAAAAAAUUGAUAAAAAAUCUCUGUUGGUGCAUCACAUUAUAUCAUACCUCGAAAAACGUUUCCCUCAUGAAAUGGAUAUUAGUUGUAUUUUAUGUUUGAAAACAAAUUGAAUAAUAUAUUGGUGGCCCGAAGAAAUUGGUUUGACUGUGCACGCACAAUGAAGACGGUGCGUGAAUUUACAAAUUAAUGCUACCUUGAAGACAGUCAUUGAAAGAUACCCCUAGCGGGAAGAGUGCAAAUUAGCCAAGAUAGCUAUUUCCUAUUCCCUGCGUUCAAACGCCUUCAAACUCUAGACUCCAGAGUCGUUCCGGGUAAGCCGAGAGGCUAUUUUGCUGUCACUUUUAAUCUUGAAAUAUAUUUAACAUCCGGUAAUCUACCCAUGCCGUGAUAGUUGAAAUUAGUUGGGAGCUAACUGGAGAUUCGACGUGUUUUUUUUGUUUUUUUUGGUGAUUUGGCAGAAACUUCCUGACUGUCGUAAGUGACUUCUUAAAUGUGAAGUAUAAGUUGUUUUUGGUCCUCAAAGGCGAUUGCAUCCACUCACCCCCUUUAAGGCUUGAUUCACCUAAUUUGAAACGCUUAAAUAUUCCCAAUUCUGAUACCUACAGAGGUCUAAAAAGGGUGUCUGCUAACAUGCUUUUUGUUCCCGGGAGACAAAUUGUUUGCCAGCUGAAGUUUCCCCUAGGAGUCAGAAACUUGCUUUGCUACUGUCUGAAAAGACCGCUAACCUGCAGACUGGAAUAUGUGUGAAUGGCGUUAAAUGCUGUGACUAUGGACUGCAUUUUUACAAAACUAUUUUGUUAAUGCAAUGGAUAUGGAAACAGAUGCUCUAGAAGAGUCUGUUAUGUUGUUCCUGGCACUGAUGUGUUUAACUGUUUGCAACAGGUAAUUACCAAGAAUGAGUUUUUAUACUGACAUUUCUGUAAAACACUUUUACAAAAAUAAAGUGGAAACUGGUCA